CUCCAGGUUGCUUAGGGAAGCCUCAGAGCUCAGGUGGCUGAGAAUGACAGUACACAUCAGGCGAUGGAGAUGUUUCUCUUUCUUCUGAUAAGCACUUAAAUGCUUACCAGGUUCCACUACCUGGGCAACAAAUGUCAUCCUUGCCUUUGGCUGUGGAUUGGUGCAUUUGAUCCUAUCAAUCCCUUGUUUUCAGCCUAAUCCAACUUCCCCAAAACAUGGGGAAAAGAAGAGGAGAAUAUCAGAAAGCUUUCAAAUUUGCAACUGCAAGACUGAUACACAUUUUGCAAGGAUCUGUCUGAUGUGUACAACAAACAUUGGAAUUAAGGCUUCUACAAUACUGGUAUGUGGUCAAGUCUAUGGCUGUGCAAUGCUGGACUUCCGCAAAGCAUCUCCAGCUUCCACUGUUACCCAACUUGUAAACCAGAAGAUGUGCUGAUGUAGGUGGAUAGCAGCUCCAAGAGUGGGGUGUGUGUGUGCUUCUGGCAUCCACGUGGCUCACCUUCUCAACCCUAGGAGCUUGGGAUGGCAGAAGGGGAGCUUCCUUCCAGGUGCUGGCACCGGCUCAGCUUCUCUGCCCUAGGAGCUUGGGAUGGUGGCAGGGGAGCUUCCUUCCAGGUGCUGGGACCACUCAGCUUCUCUGCCCCCAAGAAGCUUGCUUUUGAGAAACACUGAUCAUAGCAAAUAGCAGCACACAAUUUCUAAUUAAAAGGCCAAGAUGUCCAAGAAGUAACACCAGUGAAGUCAUUCAUUACCUAUAGAAAAACCUCUCAGAUACAAGUCUUGAGAGAGACAAAAAAAAGGACUAGUGAAAGCAGCUUCAAAAUGCAGGGAAGCAAAGUAAAAUGGAAAAAAAGGAACGCAAGUUUACUAAUACUGAAGGCAAAGUUUCAUCAUUUUAGAAUAUAAAGCAACUCAUUUGGAAUUUUUAAA
rnacentral:lncRNA from 1 species